GACGGGGGGGGCAAGUGUUCUUCGGAAUGACUGGGCGUAAAGGGCACGUAGGCGGUCUGUUGCGUCAGGAGUGAAAACUCGGGGCUUAACCCCGAGCCUGCUUCUGAUACGGGCAGACUAGAGGUAUGCAGGGGAGAACGGAAUUCCUGGUGUAGCGGUGAAAUGCGCAGAUAUCAGGAGGAACACCGGUGGCGAAGGCGGUUCUCUGGGCAUUACCUGACGCUGAGGAGCGAAAGCGUGGGGAGCAAACAGG
rnacentral:rRNA from 1 species